rnacentral:lncRNA from 1 species
ACUUAUGUUACUUUUAUUUUUCCUCUUGUUAAACAAACUCUAAUUUUACUUUUGUUUAUUUAAAAUAUAAGAAUACCAUCGAAAAAUAAGGGAAAUUAAAUGGUGUUUGACUCAAAUCUUUUUAUUUUCUAGUAAUAUAAAUAAUAUAAAAAUGGGAUGAUUCUUAUUAAAACACCUUUCUUCACCUAUAAAUAAUAAAAAUAUCAAUUAUCUAAAUCAUAUUACUCAUGAUUAAUGAUGGAAUGGAAAUUUAGUGAUCAUGAUGAAGAUGAAUAUACAUGUAAAUAUACUUAACCGUCAAAUAAUAUAGUGAUUCGAGAGUCAAAUAUCUAUAUUGAGUCAUGGACUUAUAAUCCUAUGACGUGGAGAAUAUAAUAAUUUAUAUAUCAUGAAUUUUAAAAAUAAAUUUUUAAUCAAAUAUCUACAUUAAAUCGUAGACUUAUAUGAUAAUAUAACACGGAGGAUAUAAUGAUUUAUAGAUGAUGAAUUUUAGAAUAUGAUUUUUAAGUCAAACUCCAUUAUUAACUUUCAAAUAUAGUUUGAAUUAAAAAUUGCAUUUCACUAAAUUACUACGUGGAACGUGUUAUAUUUAGAUUUAUUAUGUUUCAACUUUCAAUAAGAUCAAUUUAAUGAAUAAAUUAAUUAACACAAUUAUUGUUAUGAUGUUAUACUCUUCAAUAAAAUUUCAAUUCAUCUACCGUUGCUCAUUUAAAUCAUUCAAUCAGACAAAGGAAAAUGCAUUAUUGGGUCAAAGUGGCUAUCCAAAUAAGAACAAUCAUCAAAAUGAAUUGCAAUUUUGUUUUGCUAAUUAAUUAUAUGAGGUGUGUUGUGUUUAAAAUAACGAAAUUUAAUAAUUUUAAUACACUUUUUAAUUUGAACGAAAAUAAUAUGAAAAGUAUUAACACUGGAAGUUAGACAAAAUAAAUUCUCUCUUUUACAAAAGAAUGACUUAGUGAAGUAGAAUUGAAUUGUGCUACUUCAUUUCUGAAAAAUAAAUUAGUGGGACCUGUCUGAAUAUGCAUUAGUAACGUCAAGUUGGUGAAAUUUAUGAGAGUUAUAUAUUUGUGUAUUGAUAAGAUCGUUUACUAUUUCUUGAAGCUCAAUUCUCCCCUGAUAGUAAAUAUACGUUGGGAAAAAAUAGAUUAUUUUUUCACCCCUUCCGGAAUGCUUUCAAGUAGAAAAUAAUAGAGAAAUUAAAGAGAAUAACAACACAAAGAUUUAACGUAGAAAACUCCCCGAUUGGAGAAAAACCACGGGCCUCCCAGAAAAAUAUUCACUAUAUGGAAAUUAUUACACCAUAUAAUACACAAUAUUUUUCUCACACACCCCCACUUCCUAAAAUAUUAUUCUCAAAGUGAUCUCUAAACAUCUUUAAUCUAAAGAAGGAAAAGAAUAUUUUUAUGUGCGUUAAACAAUGAAGGAGGUGGAGUUUAUUUAUAACUCUCAACCUCCUCCCAAACCAAG